GAUGAACGCUGGCGGCGUGCCUAAUACAUGCAAGUCGAGCGAACAGACGAGGAGCUUGCUCCUCUGACGUUAGCGGCGGACGGGUGAGUAACACGUGGAUAACCUGCCUAUAAGACUGGGAUAACUUCGGGAAACCGGAGCUAAUACCGGAUAAUAUAUUGAACCGCAUGGUUCAAUAGUGAAAGACGGUUUUGCUGUCACUUAUAGAUGGAUCCGCGCCGCAUUAGCUAGUUGGUAAGGCAACGGCUUACCAAGGCAACGAUGCGUAGCCGACCUGAGAGGGUGAUCGGCCACACUGGAACUGAGACACGGUCCAGACUCCUACGGGAGGCAGCAGUAGGGAAUCUUCCGCAAUGGGCGAAAGCCUGACGGAGCAACGCCGCGUGAGUGAUGAAGGUCUUCGGAUCGUAAAACUCUGUUAUUAGGGAAGAACAAAUGUGUAAGUAACUAUGCACGUCUUGACGGUACCUAAUCAGAAAGCCACGGCUAACUACGUG
rnacentral:rRNA from 1 species